GGGUGACGAGUGGCGGACGGGUGAGUAAUGUCUGGGAAACUGCCCGAUGGAGGGGGAUAACUACUGGAAACGGUAGCUAAUACCGCAUAACGUCGCAAGACCAAAGAGGGGGACCUUCGGGCCUCUUGCCAUCGGAUGUGCCCAGAUGGGAUUAGCUAGUAGGUGGGGUAACGGCUCACCUAGGCGACGAUCCCUAGCUGGUCUGAGAGGAUGACCAGCCACACUGGAACUGAAACACGGUCCAAACUCCUACGGGAGGCAGCAGUGGGGAAUAUUGCACAAUGGGCGCAAGCCUGAUGCACCCAUGCCGCGUGUAUGAAGAAGGCCUUCGGGUUGUAAAGUACUUUCAGCGAGGAGGAAGGUGUUGUGGUUAAUAACCGCAGCAAUUGACGUUACUCGCAGAAGAAGCACCGGCUAACUCCGUGCCAGCAGCCGCGGUAAUACGGAGGGGCAAGCGUUAAUCGGAAUUACUGGGCGUAAAGCGCACGCAGGCGGUCUGUCAAGUCGGAUGUGAAAUCCCCGGGCUCAACCUGGGAACUGCAUCCGAAACUGGCAGGCUAGAGUCUUGUAGA
rnacentral:rRNA from 1 species